rnacentral:rRNA from 1 species
UACGAAGGGGGCUAGCGUUGCUCGGAAUCACUGGGCGUAAAGGGUGCGUAGGCGGGGCUUUAAGUCAGGGGUGAAAUCCUGGAGCUCAACUCCAGAACUGCCUUUGAUACUGGCGAGCUUGAGUUCGGGAGAGGUGAGUGGAACUGCGAGUGUAGAGGUGAAAUUCGUAGAUAUUCGCAAGAACACCAGUGGCGAAGGCGGCUCACUGGCCCGAUACUGACGCUGAGGUGCGAAAGCGUGGGGAGCAAACAGG